rnacentral:rRNA from 1 species
UACAGAGGGGGCAAGCGUUAUUCGGAAUUAUUGGGCGUAAAGGGCGCGUAGGCGGCCUGGCAAGUGGAAGGUGAAAUCCCUCGGCUUAACCGAGGAACUGCCCUCCAAACUGCUUGGCUUGAGUCCGGAAGAGGCGAGUGGAAUUCCUGGUGUAGCGGUGAAAUGCGCAGAUAUCAGGAGGAACACCAAUGGCGAAGGCAGCUCGCUGGGACGGUACUGACGCUGGAGACGCGAAAGCGUGGGGAGCAAACAGG